rnacentral:sRNA from 1 species
GACACUGGAAAGGCCUUCGGGCCACCAGUUA